AUGUAACAUACAUGUGGGUCAUGUAAUAUAAGACGCUAUUAUUUAUAUGCAAAAUAUAAUUAUGCAAAUUGUUACGUCUGUUGACGCUUGUUGAACAGUUGAAUUUUACUUUUGUUUUGUUAUAUGGUUUUGUAACCUGCUCAUAUUCUCCAGAUUUCCAAUAUCGGUUGUACUUUGUUUUCAGUAUUUUGUUAAUUUUGUGAGUUUUCUUGAAUGGCAAUAUACUGAAAACUUCACAUGUCUGUGAUUUGAUCAUUAAGAUUUUCCCCCCAUAAACGGCAAAGGAAAGUUAAAAUUCGUAUUUGUGCACUGCCACUUGUCCAUACCUCAAAAACCUUCCGAUCCGAACCCCUUUGAGUUCCGAAUGUCAAUAAAACAUUAGAUAGGUAUACACAUUUUGAUCAUACAACCUAUUUUUACAACUCCACGUAUAAAAAAUACUAAAUAAAUGCAACUUAUUGCAGACAAAUGAGUAAAACACUGGAAUAAAACAGUUUAAUGACUAAGUAUCUUUAUAACACUUUAGAGCCAUUGUACUCGUUAACAGACAUCUAUAUCUUGGUCAAUUUAUUCGUCAGAGCCAGUCGUACACAUUCCACAGAAAAGCAAAAAAACCUGCUCGACAAGUAUGCAGCUAAUUGUGUUCCUAUUAACUAAUUCACAGAAUACACAGUACAGCUACAUUAAGAUUGGACUGUUGCUCUGGUAGGCAGUGCAUGCCAGAACGAGAAAUAGAUAGUGAUUCUUUUUGGCACUGGACAGUGAAGUGACGACGUCCGAAUCCAACCCAUGUCCAGUACUCGUCCUCGCUCUCGGUUAACACUGUUGGUGUAGUUCAUAUACACUGUACUUAUAUUUCUAGCUGGAAUAAGCUUCGGAUAUGGAAAUGAAGCAUGGUAUUGCUUUAUUAACUUCACAUUGCAUAUUAGUUUAGAUAUCGGAACAAGAAAAUAGGUUUAAAGAUUUGAUAAUUUUUGUUAUUGUUGAUUAGAAUACUACUUUAGCGUUCAGAUUUUGAAACAUUGGUGGAUUGUGAAAGAAUUGUAGACUAGAGGGGGGAAUAAACCGACUUGUAACUGUUGAAUAAAAAACUAAGCUGUCUGUCUGACUACUAAUAGACUGUUGUUAAGCUGUAUGAUACCAAACAUAUUAUUUUCAUUUACAUCGACAGUAAAUUGCUUGAAGAUG
rnacentral:misc_RNA from 1 species